UACAGAGGAGCCAAGCGUUGUCCGGAAUUAUUGGGCGUAAAGGGCUCGUAGGCGGUCUGUUGCGUCGGGAGUGAAAACUUACAGCUUAACUGUGAGCGUGCUUCCGAUACGGGCAGACUUGAGGUAUUCAGGGGAGAACGGAAUUCCUGGUGUAGCGGUGAAAUGCGCAGAUAUCAGGAGGAACACCGGUGGCGAAGGCGGUUCUCUGGGAAUAUCCUGACGCUGAGGAGCGAAAGUGUGGGGAGCGAACAGG
rnacentral:rRNA from 1 species